rnacentral:rRNA from 1 species
GAUGAACGCUGGCGGCGUGCCUAAUACAUGCAAGUAGAACGCUGAAGGAGGAGCUUGCUCUUCUGGAUGAGUUGCGAACGGGUGAGUAACGCGUAGGUAACCUGCCUGGUAGCGGGGGAUAACUAUUGGAAACGAUAGCUAAUACCGCAUGACAACAGUUAUUGCAUGAUAACUGUUUAAAAGGGGCAACUGCUCCACUACCAGAUGGACCUGCGUUGUAUUAGCUAGUUGGUGAGGUAACGGCUCACCAAGGCGACGAUACAUAGCCGACCUGAGAGGGUGAUCGGCCACACUGGGACUGAGACACGGCCCAGACCCCUACGGGGGGCAGCAGUAGGGAAUCUUCGGCAAUGGACGGAAGUCUGACCGAGCAACGCCGCGUGAGUGAAGAAGGUUUUCGGAUCGUAAAGCUCUGUUGUAAGAGAAGAACGAGUGUGAGAGUGGAAAGUUCACACUGUGACGGUAUCUUACCAGAAAGGGACGGCUAACUACGUG